CAAGAUCGUCCAGGGGCAGUGCAUGGACUGCUUUCACCCAACCGAGAGCCGUUGUCCCCCUGGAACCCAGCAAGUAUUCACGUCCAUAAAAAGGACCAAAUGUGCAUAUAGCAGGAGGAAACACGGGAUGUUCAUUGGCUGUGAGGCUUCCUGUCAAAAACGGACCAUCGUAAGGAAGUGUUGCGAGGGCUUUUAUGGUGUUAACUGUGAG